rnacentral:rRNA from 1 species
GUGGGGAAUAUUGGACAAUGGGCGAAAGCCUGAUCCAGCCAUGCCGCGUGUGUGAAGAAGGUCUUCGGAUUGUAAAGCACUUUAAGUUGGGAGGAAGGGCAGUAAGUUAAUACCUUGCUGUUUUGACGUUACCGACAGAAUAAGCACCGGCUAACUUCGUGCCAGCAGCCGCGGUAAUACGAAGGGUGCAAGCGUUACUCGGAAUUACUGGGCGUAAAGCGUGCGUAGGUGGUUUUGUAAGUUGGAGGUGAAAUCCCCGGGCUCAACCUGGGAACUGCCUCCAAAACUGCAUGACUAGAGUACGGUAGAGGGUAGUGGAAUUUCCUGUGUAGCGGUGAAAUGCGUAGAUAUAGGAAGGAACACCAGUGGCGAAGGCGACUACCUGGACUGAUACUGACACUGAGGUGCGAAAGCGUGGGGAGCAAACAGGAUUAGAUACCCUAGUAGUCC